GCGCGUAGGUGGUUUGUUAAGUCAGAUGUGAAAGCCCCGGGCUCAACCUGGGAACUGCAUUUGAUACUGGCAGGCUAGAGUAUGGUAGAGGGAAGUGGAAUUCCGGGUGUAGCGGUGAAAUGCGUAGAUAUCCGGAAGAACACCAGUGGCGAAGGCGGCUUCCUGGACCAAUACUGACGCUGAGGUGCGAAAGCGUGGGGAGCAAACA
rnacentral:rRNA from 1 species